rnacentral:rRNA from 1 species
UGAGUAACCUGCCCUUAACUCUGGGAUAAGCCUGGGAAACUGGGUCUAAUACCGGAUAUGACUCCUCAUCGCAUGGUGGGGGGUGGAAAGCUUUAUUGUGGUUUUGGAUGGACUCGCGGCCUAUCAGCUUGUUGGUGAGGUAAUGGCUCACCAAGGCGACGACGGGUAGCCGGCCUGAGAGGGUGACCGGCCACAUUGGGAUUGAGACACGGCCCAGACCUCCGUACGGGAGGCAG